rnacentral:rRNA from 1 species
GUGCCAGCAGCCGCGGUAAUACGGAGGGUGCAAGCGUUGUUCGGAAUUAUUGGGCGUAAAGCGCGUGUAGGCGGUUUGUUAAGUCUGGUGUGAAAGCCCUGGGCUCAACCUGGGAAGUGCAUUGGAUACUGGCAAACUUGAGUACGGGAGAGGAUAGUGGAAUUUCGAGUGUAGGGGUGAAAUCCGUAGAUAUUCGAAGGAACACCGGUGGCGAAGGCGGCUAUAUGGACCGAUACUGACGCUGAGACGCGAAAGAGUGGGGAGCACACAGGAGGAGAAACCAACGGAGGAC